UAUAAUGGGCCAGCUAGGAUGAAUGACAUCACGGGUAGUCCAGCAAUCACAAACCGUAUGUCCUUUACAACCAGCGGGCAAUGUAAAACACUGUGUAGUAACAUAUUACAUAUGCAACAACAAAUAUCUUUAAUAAUCACAGAAUAAACACAAAUACAUGUCACAACGUUUUUACAAACGCUGGACAAAUUAUGUGGACUGUGGUUAGUUGUUCUUCGUCUCUUUACGUGAAGAAAGCACUUCCGCGAUGGUGAAACGUAGAUAAAAAAUUAAUGUUUGCCUUUGACAGUCCUUGUCAGUAAGAAAAGAGUUCAAAAGAACACGUAUACGACUUGAAGCAACGUCAUUUAGCAGUGUAUGUCAAUGUUACGCGCUUAGAACUAGUCUGCAAAGAGCAAAUGUUUGAGCCGAGGUCGAGUGGCGCAGUUAUUGGAAGUGCAGCGCCUGCCCUACACCAGCUCGACCGGCGGACGCGCUCCUCGCUCGGUCAGAGAGCGAAGUAAACAUUUUCCAAGGCUUUGAAGUAAACCAGAGCGUCAGCGCCACCCUACCCAGUUCUUCCAGCCAUUUUCUCUUCACAUCUCCAGAAGAGAAAAGUGGCAUGGUGAAAGCACUGACAGGGCUCCCCAGCUCUGCUCCGGCGCUGACGGUGGAAAGCGUCUCCCCUCCUAAUGAUGUUUGCAGCGCAAAGCUUAUAGCUCUCUGUCCCCACCUUCAGAGAGAGAAAGAGAGAGGAGGGGGGAGAGAAGUUCAAAAAUGGAGCAGUUUGUAAGCCACUCGUGCUAAAAUAUGAGAGGGCUCGGAGCACAGCAAACAGCGACAGAAUAAGGCUCUAAGUUCACUGACAGUACUAGGGCGUGAGAAUACAGGUACAUUGGCUAUGCCAUUGGUGUGUCUGGAUAUAUUAGCAUAGCAAAUUCCAGAGGGGUGUGUGUGCGUGUGUGAGUGUGUGUGAGUGUGUGUGUGAGAGAGAGACGUUUAAAUAAAUAUUUAAUAAAAUAAAAGUCAGAGGAACCUAUGCCCCAA